rnacentral:tRNA from 1 species
AGUAGAGUAGGCUAAUAUAAGCUUCUGGGCCCAUACCCCAACAAUGUCGGUGAAACUCCUGCCUUUACUA